UACGUAGGGACCGAGCGUUGUCCGGAAUCAUUGGGCGUAAAGAGCGUGUAGGCGGCUAUUUAAGUCCUGCGUGAAAUCCUGCGGCUCAACCGCAGACGGUCGUGGGAAACUGGAUGGCUAGAGUGCGGGAGAGGAGAGUGGAAUUCCCGGUGUAGCGGUGAAAUGCGCAGAUAUCGGGAAGAACACCCGUGGCGAAGGCGGCGACCUGGUCCGAUACUGACGCUGAGGCGCGAAAGCGUGGGGAGCAAACAGG
rnacentral:rRNA from 1 species